GUCAAUUUUGGCAAGAAUUCUUCAAGUUGCAAUGUGUAUCUCUUCAUUUGUCUACUGCCUACCACACGUAGUCCGAUGGCCAAAAAGAGGUAGUCAACAGGUCAUUAGAGACAUAUUUGAGGUGUAUGGUUGGUGAAAUGCCCAAUACAUGGUACCAAUGGUUAUCUUUAGCAGAAUUCUUGUAUAACACUUCUCAUCAUUCUGCUAUUCAAAUGUCUCCUUUACAGGCAUUAUAUGGCUUCCCACCUCCAAUUCAUAUUCCCUAUUUUCCAAAGGAUUCGAAUGUUGCUG
rnacentral:misc_RNA from 1 species